rnacentral:rRNA from 1 species
AAACUUCACACUGGGGGCAACCCCGAUGAGGGAAUUCCUAGUGCUUGGGCAUUUGUCCAAGCUUUUCCCGAGCGUAGAUAACUCGGGGAAUAAGGGCUGGGUAAGACGGGUGCCAGCCGCCGCGGUAAUACCUGCAGCCCGAGUGGUGGUCGAUUUUAUUGAGUCUAAAGCGUUCGUAGCCGGUCCGUUAAAUCCUUGGGUAAAUCGGGAAGCUCAACUUUCCGACUUCCGAGGAGACUGGCGGACUUGGGACCGGGAGAGGCCAGAGGUACUUCUGGGGUAGGGGUAAAAUCCUGUAAUCCUAGAAGGACCACCGGUGGCGAAGGCGUCUGGCUAGAACGGAUCCGACGGUGAGGGACGAAGCCCUGGGUCGCAAACGGGAUUAGAUACCCCGGUAGUCCAGGGUGUAAACGCUGCCGACUUGGUGUUGGGGGCCCUUCGUGGGAACUCAGUGCCGGAGAGAAGUUGUUAAGUCGGCCACUUGGGAGUACGUCCGCAAGGAUGAAACUUAAAGGAAUU